CCAACAUGGUUACCCCAGGAAGUCACUCUCCCUGGCCCCUGUCCAAGUGGCACAGGGGAACACAGGGCUCUGCUCCAUGAUGUCCAGGACCUUUCACAGCAUUGGAGAUGAAGCUGGGCUCUGUGUGUAUACCUGCAUAUUCCUAAAACUUCUCAGAAUCCUGUGGACAGGGACCGAGAAGAUAAACCAAGCAGAAAACAUGG
ensembl:snoRNA SNORA73 Small nucleolar RNA SNORA73 family